rnacentral:rRNA from 1 species
UACGUAGGGGGCAAGCGUUGUCCGGAUUUAUUGGGCGUAAAGAGCGUGUAGGCGCCAGACAGGUCCGUUGUGAAAACUCGAGGCUCAACCUCGAGACGUCGAUGGAAACCGUCUGGCUAGAGUCCGGAAGAGGAGUGUGGAAUUCCUGGUGUAGCGGUGAAAUGCGCAGAUAUCAGGAAGAACACCUAUGGCGAAGGCAGCACUCUGGGACGGUACUGACGCUGAGACGCGAAAGCGUGGGGAGCGAACAGG